UUCCUUGCUAUCUUCUCAAGAAAUGAAACAAAUAAAGAGAGAAAGAUGGAUGUCUCUCACCACUGCAAACUACCACAAACCACGGUAAACUACAUCCUCCACCUUACACCUAUGGUUUGUACACAUUACAGCUAGGGUUCUACAAAGAUGCCGAAAUCCAAGAGUUUGAGCAGGUAAAUCAUUCAUUAUUUCUUUCAAAGUUCUAGAUAUUUGGUUUGAUUUUGGUCAACUGUUCAACCAAUCUGAUUAUAAUGAAUUCUGUUUGGAUCGUGUUCAAGUAUUGCUCGAGAUAUGAAUGUAUUUGCAGCUAAAAAAUUGACAUAUGCAUAUGCCUGUUAGGGAAAAGACGUAAGUAAAGGGGAUCGAGCGAUGUGCUCUGUUGGUAGCCUGCAGUGGUUUUGGAUGCUGCUUCUUCUAUGAUUUUGUUUGUUUAGGUUAGCGACGGUUUUCUACACCUUAGUUUCAGUAUCAUAAUCUAUGGUUUGUUCUUUAUUAUAUGAUAUGUGCUUAAAGUUUGCCUCUCUUUUGGGUUCUUCUUAAUGCACGCCAAUUGCUCGACAAUUUGUCUUGAUAAAUUUGCAUUUGGGGUUUUACUCUAAGCUUUAAAAGAUUGUUUUAUGUAUAUGAGGAGUACAAAAUGUGAUACAUUGAAUCAGUAUAUCCUUAGAAGUAUGGAUUGUUAACUAAUUAAUCAAGUGUUUAAAGAGUUUUGAUCUUUUCAAAUCUUUGGGAACUGGCAUCAAUUCAUAAGACUUUCUUAACCUUUUUUCCCUUCCAUUGUAACAAAUAUUAAAUACAUGUAAUCAUUAUGUGUUUCGUAUUUCAAUUCUGUCUUUAUUAUAUUAGCGACAGUAGCUUGCACAACUCUUUCUUGACAUUUCUAUUCAUGUGUGUGUGUAUAUAUGUAUGUAUGUGUGUGUCUAUUGGCUAAAUACAUUCCGUUCUCCAAUGCAAAGACUUCCACCGACAUUGGCUACGGCUCCGCAAUCGUCUUUAUUUUUAUGAUUAAUUCGAUUGUUUCUUCUCAUAUGUAAUUUUCUUUUUAUAUAGAUUGUUUGUGCAAAACUAGAUGCCUCUUGUCGUCGUUCUUUGCCGGUAUGAUUUUUAGAGUUCUAAUUUAUGAAUCUGAUUGUUUUGUUGACUCCUUUAAAAUGUGCUCAUAUAUUUUGUUUACAUACAAAUUGUUUGUGCAAAUUAGAUUAUUACUCAUCUUAUGAAGAUGGAUGAAGUAUAGAAUGUUUUUUUAUUGGAAUGCCGAUGACGAUGAUUUGGAUAGCGGAAGAUAAAUUAAGAUUGGACACCUUGGUCACAUCAGAGGCUAGGCACGCAUCGCAUGAUGCAGUGAUUCUACCCGUAAAAUUCGCACACUUUUUGUUAAUUACUUUUCUUUUUAUUUAAAAUUUGAUGAUGCGGUCAAGAAAAUGAAUUGCAAAAAUUGUUUAGAGAUGAUGAUGCUUUAGAGCUCUUAGUGGCGUGUGAGUGAUAUUGCUUUAGAACGUGUUCUUAGUGGCGAGUGAGUGAUAAUUGCUUUUGCUGAUUGUUAUGGUGUGUUAAUCAUUUAAACAACAUUCAUUAUAUAACAAUAAUGUUGAAAAAAAGCAGAGUGUUUGAUGAUUUUGAGAUUCAAAGGAAAGUCACUAGGAAGCGGAAAUGGAAUCAAAGAGAUGAUGAUGGGGAGAUGGUUUCAAAGAAAAACGAACUCAGGAAGAGAUUGUGAAGUUGAAGAAGAAGCAUUGACAAGGGAGGAGCAAUAAUUAUUUUAGAAGGCGAAUUAGAAAGCAUAGUAUAUUAGUAUUAAUAAAAAUACAGGUUGGACUCUAAAUUUUUAUGGAUAUUACAUAGCAUUAAUGGAUUUUGUAAAGAAAACUCUUGAAAUAGUAUGUGUUAAAUUUCAAUUUUAAACA